UCCAGAUGCCUGCAUGUUAAAAGAACUCUCACUUUCACUAUAAUAGAAAUUAUAGUCAAGAAAACGGCCGUUGAAAAAACAUAAAGAAUACACUCUCUUUUAUUAAAUAGAUGUUUCCGUUGGUUUUUGCUUCACAUUGUAUAACGCCGAUGCAGGGCACGUCUCGUGUUCGAAUCUUCAUCUCGCCUACAAUUCCUGAAUCUUGAAGAUGGGAAUGAGAAGCUUUGUUUCGGCUCUAAAAUCUAGGUUUAAGGAGGAUAAAUCGAAGAAAACAGUGUACUUACGAAUGGAUCGGACGGAGAGUAUGAAGGUCGAAGCAAAUAGUAAGCGUGCGCAGAAAUUGAUUGCUAAAACGCUCAAGAGUGCUGAUAAAUCGGGCUCAAAACCGCUUUGGUAGUAGAAUAAAUAAAUUUUGAUGUGAUCUGUUAAUAGUAUUGUAAUCCAGGAGUCCUCAUGAAAUGGAUGGCUUGAUUUUAGUUAUUUAGAAAGAAAUUUCAAUAGGAUCUGUCCAUACUAUUGUAAUCCAGGAGGUCUUGUGAAAUGGCUAUAUUUUAAAGAAAUAUUUGUUUCA